ACUAAGCGUACACGGUGGAUGCCUUGGCAGUCAGAGGCGAUGAAAGACGUAGUAACUUGCGAUAAGCCCAGAUUAGGUAGUAACAACCAUUUGAGUCUGGGAUUUCUGAAUGGGGAAACCCACGUGCAUAAGCACGUAUCCUUACCUGAAUACAUAGGGUAAGGAGGCGAACCGGGGGAACUGAAACAUCUAAGUACCCCGAGGAAAAGAAAUCAACCGAGAUUCCGAAAGUAGCGGCGAGCGAAAUUGGACUAGCCCUUAAGCUUUACACGCGUUAGACGAACGGUCUGGAAAGUCCGACGAUACAGGGUGAUAGUCCCGUAGUUGACGACGUGUGUUCAGUGAAAUCGAGUAGGGCGGGACACGUGAUAUCCUGUCUGAAUAUGGGGGGACCAUCCUCCAAGGCUAAAUACUACUGACUGACCGAUAGUGAACCAGUACCGUGAGGGAAAGGCGAAAAGAACCCCUGUGAGGGGAGUGAAAUAGAACCUGAAACCGUGUACGUACAAGCAGUAGGAGCAGGCUUUGUCCUGUGACUGCGUACCUUUUGUAUAAUGGGUCAGCGACUUAUAUUCAGUGGCAAGGUUAACCAUCUAGGGGAGCCGUAGGGAAACCGAGUCUUAACUGGGCGUUCAGUCUCUGGAUAUAGACCCGAAACCAGGUGAUCUAGCCAUGGGCAGGUUGAAGGUUGAGUAACAUCAACUGGAGGACCGAACCGACUAAUGUUGAAAAAUUAGCGGAUGACUUGUGGCUAGGGGUGAAAGGCCAAUCAAACCUGGAGAUAGCUGGUUCUCCCCGAAAGCUAUUUAGGUAGCGCCUCGGACGAAUACUACUGGGGGUAGAGCACUGUUAAGGCUAGGGGGUCAUCCCGACUUACCAACCCUUUGCAAACUCCGAAUACCAGUAAGUACUAUCCGGGAGACACACGGCGGGUGCUAACGUCCGUCGUGGAGAGGGAAACAACCCAGACCGCCAGCUAAGGUCCCAAAUUACUACUAAGUGGGAAACGAUGUGGGAAGGCUCAGACAGCCAGGAUGUUGGCUUAGAAGCAGCCAUCAUUUAAAGAAAGCGUAAUAGCUCACUGGUCGAGUCGGCCUGCGCGGAAGAUGUAACGGGGCUAAGUAGUAAACCGAAGCUGCGGCAAUGUGCUUUUGCACAUUGGGUAGGGGAGCGUUCUGUAAGCGGUUGAAGGUGUGUGGUAACGCAUGCUGGACGUAUCAGAAGUGCGAAUGCUGACAUGAGUAACGAUAAAGGGGGUGAAAAACCUCCUCGCCGGAAGACCAAGGGUUCCUGUCCAACGUUAAUCGGGGCAGGGUAAGUCGACCCCUAAGGCGAGGCCGAAAGGCGUAGUCGAUGGGAAACGGGUUAAUAUUCCCGUACUUCUUACAAUUGCGAUGGGGGACGGAGAAGGCUAGGUGGGCCUGGCGACGGUUGUCCAGGUUCAAGUGCGUAGGCUUGAGAGUUAGGUAAAUCCGGCUCUUUUUAAGGCUGAGACACGACGUCGAGCACCUACGGGUGUGAAGUCAUUGAUGCCAUGCUUCCAGGAAAAGCCUCUAAGCUUCAGAUUGUAAGGAAUCGUACCCCAAACCGACACAGGUGGUCGGGUAGAGAAUACCAAGGCGCUUGAGAGAACUCGGGUGAAGGAACUAGGCAAAAUGGUACCGUAACUUCGGGAGAAGGUACGCUCUCGACGGUGAAGUCCCUUGCGGAUGGAGCUAUUGAGAGUCGCAGAUACCAGGUGGCUGCAACUGUUUAUUAAAAACACAGCACUGUGCAAAAUCGUAAGAUGACGUAUACGGUGUGACGCCUGCCCGGUGCCGGAAGGUUAAUUGAUGGGGUUAGACUUCGGUCGAAGCUCUUGAUCGAAGCCCCGGUAAACGGCGGCCGUAACUAUAACGGUCCUAAGGUAGCGAAAUUCCUUGUCGGGUAAGUUCCGACCUGCACGAAUGGCGUAAUGAUGGCCACGCUGUCUCCACCCGAGACUCAGUGAAAUUGAAAUCGCUGUGAAGAUGCAGUGUACCCGCGGCUAGACGGAAAGACCCCGUGAACCUUUACUACAGCUUGGCACUGAACAUUGACCCUACAUGUGUAGGAUAGGUGGGAGGCUUUGAAGCACGUACGCCAGUAUGUGUGGAGCCGUCCUUGAAAUACCACCCUUGUAGUGUUGAUGUUCUAACGUCGACCCCUUAUCGGGGUUGCGGACAGUGCCUGGUGGGUAGUUUGACUGGGGCGGUCUCCUCCCAAAGAGUAACGGAGGAGCACGAAGGUGGGCUAAUCACGGUUGGACAUCGUGAGGUUAGUGCAAUGGCAUAAGCCCGCUUGACUGCGAGAAUGACAAUUCGAGCAGGUGCGAAAGCAGGUCAUAGUGAUCCGGUGGUUCUGAAUGGAAGGGCCAUCGCUCAACGGAUAAAAGGUACUCCGGGGAUAACAGGCUGAUACCGCCCAAGAGUUCAUAUCGACGGCGGUGUUUGGCACCUCGAUGUCGGCUCAUCACAUCCUGGGGCUGAAGUCGGUCCCAAGGGUAUGGCUGUUCGCCAUUUAAAGUGGUACGCGAGCUGGGUUUAGAACGUCGUGAGACAGUUCGGUCCCUAUCUGCCGUGGGCGUUGGAAGAUUGAAGGGGGCUGCUCCUAGUACGAGAGGACCGGAGUGGACGAACCUCUGGUGUUCGGGUUGUGUCGCCAGACGCAUUGCCCGGUAGCUAAGUUCGGAAUCGAUAACCGCUGAAAGCAUCUAAGCGGGAAGCGAGCCCUGAGAUGAGUCUUCCCUGAUACUUUAAGUAUCCUAAAGGGUUGUCGGAGACUACGACGUUGAUAGGUCAGGUGUGUAAGUGCUGUGAGGCAUUGAGCUAACUGAUACUAAUUGCCCGUGAGGCUUAACC
rnacentral:rRNA from 1 species